GCUUGCUUUUCCGCCGGCGACCGGCGCACGGGUGCGCACCGCGUAUGGAACCUGCCUUGUACAGGGGAAUAGCCCAGGGAAACUUGGAUUAAUGCCCCGUAGUACCGUAUUUCGGCAUCGUUAUACGGUUAAAGCCUUCGGGCGGUACAAGAUGGCCAUGCGUCCCAUUAGCUUGUUGGUAAGGUAACGGCUUACCAAGGCUACGAUGGGUAGGGGCCCUGAGAGGGGGAUCCCCCACACUGGUACUGAGACACGGACCAGACUCCUACGGGAGGCAGCAGUGAGGAAUAUUGGACAAUGGAGGAGACUCUGAUCCAGCCAUGCCGCGUGCAGGAAGAAUGCCCUAUGGGUAGUAAACUGCUUUUAUACGGGAAGAAAAAGAGCUACGUGUAGCUUACUGACGGUACCGUAAGAAUAAGGACCGGCUAACUCCGUGCCAGCAGCCGCGGUAAUACGGAGGGUCCGAGCGUUAUCCGGAAUUAUUGGGUUUAAAGGGUCCGUAGGCGGGCCGAUAAGUCAGGGGUGAAAGUCUGCCGCUCAACGGUAGAACUGCCUUUGAUACUGUCGGUCUUGAGUUAUAGUGAAGUUGCCGGAAUAUGUAGUGUAGCGGUGAAAUGCAUAGAUAUUACAUAGAACACCGAUUGCG
rnacentral:rRNA from 2 species